GGCUCCAUUGCUCAGGUGGUUAGAGCGCCAGUCUCGUAAAAUGGAGGUCGAGAGUUCGAAUCACUCUGGGGCUU